GUGUUGAUCAAAAUUAGUUUUAGUCCCCCUUGGUCUCACAUAGUGUCCCAUGCCAGAGCAAACUGUGGCUCUGAACCAUUGCCUGUCUUCUGCCUGUAGGCUGCUGGCACUGCAGUGGGUUGUACAGUG
rnacentral:snoRNA from 1 species